rnacentral:rRNA from 1 species
UACGGAGGUGGCGAGCGUUGCUCGGAUUUACUGGGUGUAAAGGGCACGUAGGCGGUCUGGUAAGCCCUGCCUGAAAUACUCUGGCUCAACCAGAGCAUGUGGUGGGGACGUGCGAGACUGGAGGAGUUGGAGAGGCGAGCGGAAUUCCCGGUGUAAGGGUGAAAUCUGUAGAUAUCGGGAGGAACACCAGUGGCGAAGGCGGCUCGCUGGCCAAUUUCUGACGCUGAGGUGCGAAAGCUAGGGGAGCGAACAGGAUUAGAAA